GAUGAACGCUGGCGGCGUGCUUAACACAUGCAAGUCGAACGAGAAGUGAAGACGGAAACCUUCGGGCGGAAGGCUUUAUUUCGAGUGGCGGACGGGUGAGUAACGCGUGGGUAACCUGCCUCAUACAGGGGGAUAACAGUUGGAAACGACUGUUAAUACCGCAUAAGACCACAGCACCGCAUGGUGCGGGGGUAAAAACUCCGGUGGUAUGAGAUGGACCCGCGUUCGAUUAGCCAGUUGGCGGGGUAACGGCCCACCAAAGCGACGAUCGAUAGCCGAUCUGAGAGGAUGAGCGGCCACAGUGGGACUGAGACACGGCCCAAACUCCUACGGGAGGCAGCAGUGGGGAAUAUUGCACAAUGGGGGAAACCCUGAUGCAGCGACGCCGCGUGAGUGAAGAAGUAUUUCGGUAUGUAAAGCUCUAUCAGCAGGGAAGAAAAUGACGGUACCUGAGUAAGAAGCCCCGGCUAACUACGUG
rnacentral:rRNA from 1 species